AUUGAACGCUGGCGGCAGGCCUAACACAUGCAAGUCGGACGAGUGGCGAACGGGUGAGUAAUGUCUGGGAACCUGCCUGGUGAAGGGGGAUAACUACUGGAAACGGUAGCUAAUACCGCAUACCAUCCGAAGUGCCGAUGUGGGAUUAGCUAGUAGGGGGGGUAAAGGCUCACCAAGGCGACGAUCCAUAGCGGGUCUGAGAGGAUGACCGGCCACACUGGGACUGAGACACGGUCCAGACUCCUACGGGAGGCAGCAGUGGGGAAUUUUGCACAAUGGGCGCAAGCCUGAUCCAGCCAUGCCGCGUGUCUGAAGAAGGCCUUCGGGUUGUAAAGUACUUUUGUCAGGGAAGCGGUACCUGAAGAAUAAGCACCGGCUAACUACGUGCCAGCAGCCGCGGUAAUAC
rnacentral:rRNA from 1 species